CGCACGGGUGAGUAACACGUGGAUGAUCUACCCAUCAGUUCGGGAUAACAAGUUGGAAACGACUGCUAAUACCGUAUACGAUCUUAUUUCAACAUUGGGUGAAAGGCGGCCUCUGCUUGCAAGCUGUCGCUGAUGGAUGAGUCCGCGUCUCAUUAGGUAGUUGGUAGGGUAACGGCCUAUCAAGCCGACGAUGAGUAGCCGGCCUGAGAGGGUAAUCGGCCACACUGGGACUGGAACACGGCCCAGACUCCUACGGGAGGCAGCAGUGGGGAAUAUUGCGCAAUGGGCGAAAGCCUGACGCAGCGACGCCGCGUGAGGGAUGAAGGCAAUAAGGGUCGUAAACCUCUGUCAGGAGGGAAGAAGUGUGCGGGUGCUAAUCAGCCCGUAUUUGACGGUACCUCCAAAGGAAGCACCGGCUAACUCCGUGCCAGCAGCCGCGGUAAUACGGAGGGUGCGAGCGUUAAUCGGAAUCACUGGGCGUAAAGCGCGCGUAGGCGGCCAUUUAAGUCAGGGGUGAAAUCCCACGGCUCACCCGUGGAACUGCCCUUGAUACUGAGUGGCUUGAGUAAGUGAGAGGAUAGUGGAAUUCCUGGUGUAGGGGUGAAAUCCGUAGAGAUCAGGAGGAACAUCAGUGGCGAAGGCGACUGUCUGGCACUAUACUGACGCUGAGGU
rnacentral:rRNA from 1 species